GACGAACGCUGGCGGCGUGCUCAACACAUGCAAGUCGAACGCUGAAGCUCAGCUUUUGUUGGGUGGAUGAGUGGCGAACGGGUGAGUAACACGUGAGUAACCUGCCCCCUUCUUUGGGGUAACGCCCGGAAACGGGUGCUAAUACUGGAUAUUCACUGGUCUUCGCAUGGGGGUUGGUGGAAAGGGUUUUUCUGGUGGGGGAUGGGCUCGCGGCCUAUCAGCUUGUUGGUGGGGUGAUGGCCUACCAAGGCUUUGACGGGUAGCCGGCCUGAGAGGGUGACCGGCCACAUUGGGACUGAGAUACGGCCCAGACUCCUACGGGAGGCAGCAGUGGGGAAUAUUGCACAAUGGGCGCAAGCCUGAUGCAGCGACGCCGCGUGAGGGAUGGAGGCCUUCGGGUUGUGAACCUCUUUCGCUCAUGGUCAAGCCGCAACAAUGGUUGUGGUGAGGGUAGUGGGUAAAGAAGCGCCGGCUAACUACGUG
rnacentral:rRNA from 1 species